AGAGUUUGAUCCUGGCUCAGGACGAACGCUGGCGGCGUGCCUAACACAUGCAAGUCGAGCGGGGACAUGCGACGGAGACAAAGUACUCGUACGGAGUCAAAGAUGUAUGUUCUAGCGGCGGACGGGUGAGUAACGCGUGAGCAACCUGUCCCUUACAGGGGGAUAACACAGCGAAAGUUGUACUAAUACCGCAUAAGACCACGGGAUGACAUCGUCCAGGGGUCAAAGGAGCAAUCCGGUAAGGGGUGGGCUCGCGUCCGAUUAGAUAGUUGGUGAGGUAACGGCCCACCAAGUCGACGAUCGGUAGCCGACCUGAGAGGGUGAUCGGCCACAUUGGGACUGAGACACGGCCCAAACUCCUACGGGAGGCAGCAGUGGGGAAUAUUGGGCAAUGGGGGGAACCCUGACCCAGCAACGCCGCGUGAGGGAAGAAGGUUUUCGGAUCGUAAACCUCUGUCCCAGGUGAAGAGGAAGAGACGGUAGCCUGGGAGGAAGCCCCGGCUAACUACGUGCCAGCAGCCGCGGUAAUACGUAGGGGGCGAGCGUUGUCCGGAAUGAUUGGGCGUAAAGGGCGCGUAGGCGGCCCGGUAAGUCUGGAGUGAAAGUCCUGCUUUUAAGGUGGGAAUUGCUUUGGAUACUGUCGGGCUUGAGUGCAGGAGAGGUAAGUGGAAUUCCCAGUGUAGCGGUGAAAUGCGUAGAGAUUGGGAGGAACACCAGUGGCGAAGGCGACUUACUGGACUGUAACUGACGCUGAGGCGCGAAAGUGUGGGGAGCAAACAGGAUUAGAUACCCUGGUAGUCCACACUGUAAACGAUGAAUGCUAGGUGUAGGGGGUAUCGACCCCUUCUGUGCCGCAGUAAACACAAUAAGCAU
rnacentral:rRNA from 1 species